rnacentral:tRNA from 1 species
GGCGACGUGGCCAAGUGGUUAAGGCAGGGGUCUGCAAAACCCCCAUCACCGGUUCGAAUCCGGUCGUCGCCU